rnacentral:rRNA from 1 species
ACGAACGCUGGCGGCGUGCCUAACACAUGCAAGUCGUGCGGGAAAGUGGGGGCAACUCCACGAGUACAGCGGCGCACGGGUGAGUAACACGUAGGUAACCUGCCCCCGAGACUGGGAUAACCUGUCGAAAGACGGGCUAAUACCGGAUAAGACAACGGAAGCUUCGGCUUCAGGUGUAAAAGGUGGCCUCUGCUUGCAAGCUACUACUCGAGGAUGGGCCUGCGCGCCAUUAGCUAGUUGGUGGGGUAACGGCCCACCAAGGCAAAGAUGGCUAGCUGGUCUGAGAGGAUGGCCAGCCACACUGGGACUGAGACACGGCCCAGACUCCUACGGGAGGCAGCAGUGGGGAAUAUUGCGCAAUGGGCGAAAGCCUGACGCAGCGACGCCGCGUGGGUGAUGAAGGCCUUCGGGUCGUAAAGCCCUGUCGGGAGGAGUGAACUCGGUAACCUAACGUAUCGACUGGUACCUAAGGAAGCACCGGCUAACUCCGUGCCAGCAGCCGCGGUAAUACGGAGGGUGCGAGCGUUGUUCGGAAUUACUGGGCGUAAAGGGCCGUGUAGGCGGCCUACUAAGUCUGGACGUGAAAGCCCAGGGCUUACCCCUGGAAGUGCAGUCGGAUACUGGAUGGCUUAGAGUCCGGAGAGGAGGGUGCGAAUUCCAGGUGUAGCGGUGAAAUGCGUAGAUAUCAUGGAGGAAUACCGGUGGCGAAGGCGGCAUCCUGGACGGCUACAUUGACGCUGAGACGGCGAAAGCGUAGGGGAGCAAACAGGAUUAGAUACCCCUGGUAGUCCUAGCCCUAAACGAUGAGGCCUAUGGUGUUCGGGGUAUCGAUCCCCCUGCCGUGCCGAAGCUAACGCAUUAAGGCAUUCCGCCUGGGGACUACGGUCCGCAAGGCUUAAACUCAAAGGAAUUGACGGGGGCCCGCACAAGCGGUGGAGCAUGUGGUUCAAUUCGACGCAACGCGAAGAACCUUACCUGGGCUCGAACGGCAUUGGACGUCCCUCGAAAUCAGGAUCUCCCGCAAGGGACCGAUGGUCAGGUGCUGCAUGGCUGUCGUCAGCUCGUGUCGUGAGAUGUUGGGUUAAGUCCCGCAACGAGCGCAACCCUUGUCCGCUGUUGCCAUCACGUUAUGGUGGGCACUCUGCGGAGACUGCCGGUGAUAAACCGGAGGAAGGUGGGGAUGACGUCAAGUCAGCAUGGCCUUUAUGUCUGGGGCUACACACGUGCUACAAUGGCCGAUACAAACCGUCGCGAUACCGCAAGGUGGAGCUAAUCGGAGAAAGUCGGUCUCAGUUCGGAUCGCAGGCUGCAACUCGCCUGCAUGAAGUUGGAAUCGCUAGUAAUCGCGGAUCAGCACGCCGCGGUGAAUACGUUCCCGGGCCUUGUACACACCGCCCGUCACAUCACGAAAGCUGGCUGUACUAGAAGUCGCCGAGCUAACCCGCAAGGGAGGCAGGCGCCUAAGGUAUGGUCAGUGAUUGGGGUG